UUAAUGGGUGAUGGCGUGCCUUUUGUAGAAUGAACCGGCGAGUUACGAUUUGAUGCAAGGUUAAGCAGUAAAUGUGGAGCCGUAGCGAAAGCGAGUCUGAAUAGGGCGUUUAGUAUUUGGUCGUAGACCCGAAACCAGGUGAUCUACCCUUGGUCAGGUUGAAGUUCAGGUAACACUGAAUGGAGGACCGAACCGACUUACGUUGAAAAGUGAGCGGAUGAACUGAGGGUAGCGGAGAAAUUCCAAUCGAACCUGGAGAUAGCUGGUUCUCUCCGAAAUAGCUUUAGGGCUAGCCUCAAGUGAUGAUUAUUGGAGGUAGAGCACUGUUUGGACGAGGGGCCCCUCUCGGGUUACCGAAUUCAGACAAACUCCGAAUGCCAAUUAAUUUAACUUGGGAGUCAGAACAUGGGUGAUAAGGUCCGUGUUCGAAAGGGAAACAGCCCAGACCACCAGCUAAGGUCCCAAAAUAUAUGUUAAGUGGAAAAGGAUGUGGCGUUGCCCAGACAACUAGGAUGUUGGCUUAGAAGCAGCCAUCAUUUAAAGAGUGCGUAAUAGCUCACUAGUCGAGUGACACUGCGCCGAAAAUGUACCGGGGCUAAACAUAUUACCGAAGCUGUGGAUUGUCCUUUGGACAAUGGUAGGAGAGCGUUCUAAGGGCGUUGAAGCAUGAUCGUAAGGACAUGUGGAGCGCUUAGAAGUGAGAAUGCCGGUGUGAGUAGCGAAAGACGGGUGAGAAUCCCGUCCACCGAUUGACUAAGGUUUCCAGAGGAAGGCUCGUCCGCUCUGGGUUAGUCGGGUCCUAAGCUGAGGCCGACAGGCGUAGGCGAUGGAUAACAGGUUGAUAUUCCUGUACCACCUAUAAUCGUUUUAAUCGAUGGGGGGACGCAGUAGGAUAGGCGAAGCGUGCGAUUGGAUUGCACGUCUAAGCAGUAAGGCUGAGUAUUAGGCAAAUCCGGUACUCAUUAAGGCUGAGCUGUGAUGGGGAGAAGACAUUGUGUCUUCGAGUCGUUGAUUUCACACUGCCGAGAAAAGCCUCUAGAUAGAAAAUAGGUGCCCGUACCGCAAACCGACACAGGUAGUCAAGAUGAGAAUUCUAAGGUGAGCGAGCGAACUCUCGUUAAGGAACUCGGCAAAAUGACCCCGUAACUUCGGGAGAAGGGGUGCUCUUUAGGGUUAACGCCCAGAAGAGCCGCAGUGAAUAGGCCCAAGCGACUGUUUAUCAAAAACACAGGUCUCUGCUAAACCGUAAGGUGAUGUAUAGGGGCUGACGCCUGCCCGGUGCUGGAAGGUUAAGAGGAGUGGUUAGCUUCUGCGAAGCUACGAAUCGAAGCCCCAGUAAACGGCGGCCGUAACUAUAACGGUCCUAAGGUAGCGAAAUUCCUUGUCGGGUAAGUUCCGACCCGCACGAAAGGCGUAACGAUUUGGGCACUGUCUCAACGAGAGACUCGGUGAAAUCAUAGUACCUGUGAAGAUGCAGGUUACCCGCGACAGGACGGAAAGACCCCGUGGAGCUUUACUGUAGCCUGAUAUUGAAAUUCGGCACAGCUUGUACAGGAUAGGUAGGAGCCUUUGAAACGUGAGCGCUAGCUUACGUGGAGGCGCUGGUGGGAUACUACCCUAGCUGUGUUGGCUUUCUAACCCGCACCACUUAUCGUGGUGGGAGACAGUGUCAGGCGGGCAGUUUGACUGGGGCGGUCGCCUCCUAAAAGGUAACGGAGGCGCUCAAAGGUUCCCUCAGAAUGGUUGGAAAUCAUUCAUAGAGUGUAAAGGCAUAAGGGAGCUUGACUGCGAGACCUACAAGUCGAGCAGGGUCGAAAGACGGACUUAGUGAUCCGGUGGUUCCGCAUGGAAGGGCCAUCGCUCAACGGAUAAAAGCUACCCCGGGGAUAACAGGCUUAUCUCCCCCAAGAGUUCACAUCGACGGGGAGGUUUGGCACCUCGAUGUCGGCUCAUCGCAUCCUGGGGCUGUAGUCGGUCCCAAGGGUUGGGCUGUUCGCCCAUUAAAGCGGUACGCGAGCUGGGUUCAGAACGUCGUGAGACAGUUCGGUCCCUAUCCGUCGUGGGCGUAGGAAAUUUGAGAGGAGCUGUCCUUAGUACGAGAGGACCGGGAUGGACAUACCUCUGGUGUACCAGUUGUCGUGCCAACGGCAUAGCUGGGUAGCUAUGUGUGGACGGGAUAAGUGCUGAAAGCAUCUAAGCAUGAAGCCCCCCUCAAGAUGAGAUUUCCCAACUUCGGUUAUAAGAUCCCUCAAAGAUGAUGAGGUUAAUAGGUUCGAGGUGGAAGCAUGGUGACAUGUGGAGCUGACGAAUACUAA
rnacentral:rRNA from 1 species